AAAAGAAACUAACUAGGAUUCCCUUAGUAACGGCGAGUGAACCGGGAUGAGCUCAAAUUUAAAAUCUGGCGUCUUUCAGGCGUCCGAGUUGUAAUCUAUAGAGGCGUUUUCCGCGCCGGACCGCGUCCAAGUCUCUUGGAAUAGAGUAUCAAAGAGGGUGACAAUCCCGUACUUGACGCGACAACCGGUGCUCUGUGAUACGUUCUCAAUGAGUCGAGUUGUUUGGGAAUGCAGCUCUAAAUGGGUGGUAAAUUCCAUCUAAGGCUAAAUAUUGGCGAGAGACCGAUAGCGAACAAGUACCGUGAGGGAAAGAUGAAAAGCACUUUGGAAAGAGAGUUAAACAGCACGUGAAAUUGUUAAAAGGGAAACGAUUGAAGUCAGUCGUGUGAAAGGUAUUCAGCCGUCUCUGGCGGUGUAUUUGCCUUUCACGGGUCAACAUCAGUUUGAUCCGGUAGAAAAAGGCAGGAGGAAGGUGGCACCCUCGGGUGUGUUAUAGCCUCUUGUCAUAUGUGCCGGACCAGACUGAGGAACGCAGCUUGCCGCAAGGCCGGGGUUCGCCCACGUACAAGCUUAGGAUGUUGACAUAAUGGCUUUAAACGACCCGUCUU
rnacentral:rRNA from 1 species